rnacentral:rRNA from 1 species
CAACGCCGCGUGAGUGAAGAAGGUUUUCGGAUCGUAAAACUCUGUUGUAAGGGAAGAACAAGUACAGUAGUAACUGGCUGUACCUUGACGGUACCUUAUAGAAAGCCACGGCUAACUACGUGCCAGCAGCCGCGGUAAUACGUAGGUGGCAAGCGUUGUCCGGAAUUAUUGGGCGUAAAGCGCGCGCAGGCGGUCCUUUAAGUCUGAUGUGAAAGCCCACGGCUCAACCGUGGAGGGUCAUUGGAAACUGGGGGACUUGAGUGCAGAAGAGGAAAGUGGAAUUCCAAGUGUAGCGGUGAAAUGCGUAGAGAUUUGGAGGAACACCAGUGGCGAAGGCGACUUUCUGGUCUGUAACUGACGCUGAGGCGCGAAAGCGUGGGGAGCAAACAGGAUUAGAUACCCUGGUAGUCCACGCCGUAAACGAUGAGUGCUAAGUGUUAGGGGGUUUCCGCCCCUUAGUGCUGCAGCUAACGCAUUAAGCACUCCGCCUGGGGAGUACGGUCGCA